rnacentral:snoRNA from 1 species
UUUUGUGUAUCAGAAUACACCAGUAAGAAAGUGAAAAGAGACAGACGCAAAACAGUAAAUCCUCUUUUGCAACCCAGAACUCAAUGUGUAUGAGUUUUGGUACACAUAUGAAGGAAUAUG